rnacentral:rRNA from 1 species
GAUGAACGCUGGCGGCGUGCCUAAUACAUGCAAGUCGAACGAACAGACGAGAAGCUUGUUCCUCUGAGGAUGGCGGCUGGCGGAUGAGUAACACGUAAAUAACAUUCCAAUAAGACUGGGAGAACCUCGUGGGACAGGAGAUAAUAACGGACAAUAAAUUGUACCGCAUGGUGCAAUAGUGAAACAGGGGUUGCCUGACUCUCAUAGCUGAAUCCGCGUCGCAUAGGCUAGUUGGCAAGGUAACGGCCUACCAAGGCAACGACGCGUAGCCGAUCUGAGAGGGUGAUCGGCCACACUGGAACUGAGACACGGUCCAGACUCCUACGGGAGGCAGCAGUAGGGAAUCUUCCGCAAUGGGCGCAAGCUUGACGGAGCCACGCCGCGUGAGUGAUGAAGGUCUUCGGAUCGUAAAACUCUGUUAUUAGGGAAGAACAAAUGUGUAAGUAACUAUGCACGUCUUGACGGUACCUAAUCAGAAAGCCACGGCUAACUACGUG